rnacentral:rRNA from 1 species
AAAAACAUGUCUUUUUGUUAAUAAUUUAAAGUCUAAUCCUGCCCACUGAAAAUUUUUAAAGGGCUGCAGUAUAUUGACUGUACAAAGGUAGCAUAAUCAAUAGUNUUUUAAUUGAAGACUUGUAUGAAUGAUUUGAUGAGAUAUAAACUGUCUUUUUUUUAAUUAUAGAAUUUAAUUUUUUAGUUAAAAAGCUAAAAUUUUUUUAAAAGACGAGAAGACCCUAUAGAGUUUAAUUUUUUUAAUUUUUAUUAAUAUUUUAAAAAAAUUAUGAUUAAUAAAAAUUAAAAAAUUUUGUUGGGGUGAUAGAAAAAUUUAUAAAACUUUUUUUAAAAAAAUUAACAUUGAUUUAUGAUUUAUUGAUCCAUAAAUUAUGAUUAAAAGAUUAAAUUACCUUAGGGAUAACAGCGUAAUUUUUUUUUUUAGUUUAAAUAAAAAUUAAAGUUUGCGACCUCGAUGUUGGAUUAAGAUAAAAUUUAAAUACAAAAGUUAAA